rnacentral:rRNA from 1 species
CAAGUCGAACGGCAGCACGGGGGCAACCCUGGUGGCGAGUGGCGAACGGGUGAGUAAUGCAUCGGAACGUGCCCAGUCGUGGGGGAUAACGUAGCGAAAGCUACGCUAAUACCGCAUACGAUCUAUGGAUGAAAGCGGGGGACCUUCGGGCCUCGCGCGAUUGGAGCGGCCGAUGUCAGAUUAGGUAGUUGGUGGGGUAAAGGCCUACCAAGCCGACGAUCUGUAGCUGGUCUGAGAGGACGACCAGCCACACUGGGACUGAGACACGGCCCAGACUCCUACGGGAGGCAGCAGUGGGGAAUUUUGGACAAUGGGCGCAAGCCUGAUCCAGCAAUGCCGCGUGCAGGAUGAAGGCCUUCGGGUUGUAAACUGCUUUUGUACGGAACGAAAAGGCUCUGGCUAAUACCUGGGGCUGAUGACGGUACCGUAAGAAUAAGCACCGGCUAACUACGUGCCAGCAGCCGCGGUAAUACGUAGGGUGCAAGCGUUAAUCGGAAUUACUGGGCGUAAAGCGUGCGCAGGCGGUUUUGUAAGACAGGUGUGAAAUCCCCGGGCUUAACCUGGGAACUGCACUUGUGACUGCAAGGCUGGAGUACGGCAGA